CGUAAUGACAAAUGCAUCCUUCUAAUCUUUGAUUUUUGUUACCUAUAUAUGUGUGUGCAUGUUCUCUCUAUGGUGGAUUGUUCGCGGCUUCAUUCUUUUCUCGCAUCGAUGCUUAUUGUGAGCGUGUCGGUUGUGGGGCCUUCAUCUUUUUACCAAUUACAGUAUGGUAGACUUUGGAACAGAAACGUUUUCUCCGUUUCAUCAUUUCCAUUAGAGAAAUUAGUGGCCAUGUUAUCAUGGACUAUUUAAGUCGCGGUCUACCAUGAGUGUCUCUAUUUCCAAGUCCUCGCCUUGACGACAACAUUGGUCCAAUCUCUGAUGUAAUUUUGUGAAACAAUGGCUAUUGUUUGAGCUUUGACGGGCCUAUACAUUCUGUUUCUCUGUUCUGUACGUGCUUUUCCUUUACUGUUUUGAUUUGGUUUAUAUGGCUAUGAUUGCAGAAAUGAACAGAAUUUAUUGUCUCCUUGAUGCAUUUGGAGUAUAUUGGUUUAAAACGACCUUGAAAUCUUGUUUUUUUGUUUCUGAAUUUAUUUCAUAUUGGUCUGCAGUUGCAGGACAUGGAGAUUUAACAUGAGCUCCAUUGUAUGAUGAAAUUUUGAUGAGGUUUUAUAUGUUCAUCUGUUCAUGAUUAUUAGUGAGCUGUUAUGCUUUUACCUUUCAUGAAACUGAUAAAUGAAACAUAUUAAGAUUUCUGUACACAUCAGAGAACAACAAUGAUAAAGUUUCUACCAGGCCCCUAUUAUUUGGGAUUGGUUUUGUAGUUAAUUUCCUUCAGUGAGCCCUAUUUGAGUUCAAUACAAUUAGAGCAAUUUAAUACCUUUUAUUGUUUCAAAUAUAUCUAUUAGUUUUUCCUCUAUUAGUUAAAUAUAUCUAAUGAUAGAUAUUUUCCUUUUAUUGUUUCAUUUUGUGCACUGCUAAUCUGAUAACCUCAUUUAAUCCCACUAGUGUGAUUCAUGCUUUCUUAAGCAUAUUUAAUGUUUUAAUUGAUCGACUAUUAUAAAUAUCAAAGUUAACAGAUAAAUUACAAAACAUAUUGCUAGUUAUUUAAUGUAUUGUACAUUCAUGUCUUGAUGUUACAAAAUAUAUAUGAAAUUUUGACAAUCGAUCUUUUUUCUUGUGCAAAUAUAUAAUGUUAUGACCAAGGAUUGCCUUUUUGGGUACCAGACUUGUUUUGACAAUUUGAUGGAAUGGUACAUACUGGUCUAUACUGGUGCAUCUAGAGAUUCGGCAAGGACAAAAAAGAGGAAGGAGAGGAAGGGGUGGUGGAGGAACAUAGGAGGAAGGAGGAAAGAAGAGGGAAAAAGAGGAAGAAGAAGAAGAAAGGAGAGGAGAAAAAGAUUAGUGGUAGCGGUAAAGCAGCAGUGGUGAGGCAACAGUAUUGUUGAAGUGGCAGCGGCAAUGGUGAUGAUGAGGCGGUGGCUUCUUUUGUGUGAGGAAGGCUCGUGUUUGUGAUAACGAGAUGAUGACAUCUUAUGUGAUGGCGAAGUCGCAACGACUAGGCAGCCACAUCUUAUGCGAUAAGAGGGCUCUUGUUCGCGAGCCUUAAUUUUCUUUUUUUUUUUUUCUUUUUAACACUGAUUUGGACAGGGGCCCCAUCAUUUCUUUGAAUUUUUAAUUAAUUUAAUAGGACCAUUUGAAAGGAGGUGGUCCCUGUAUUGACCCUCGCCCGGACUAGUAUGUACCUCCCGUACGAUACUGUUUUUGGGCGGUAUAGCAAAUGUUGAUUAUGACAUAAUCAGGUCACACUGGUGGAACUGCUUUUGUCAGGUUUGUUUAUCUAAUAGAAAAUAGCUUAUAAAUGACUGGA